rnacentral:lncRNA from 10 species
AGCGGUGGUUUUCAGAGUAGUUGCUCCUUUUAUUAUGUAACAAUUACUCAACACAAACCCUGUAUCAGAUUCAGUAUAGGCUCUGGCAAUGCAUUUACCAAUAACACAUGGUCCCUGCACUCAAGAAAUAUAUAAUCCUAUGGGUCAUUCUGACAGAUAAAACAGACAUGUACAACCUAUGAGGUGUGAAAAGGGACUACAUAGAAGGACACUUGUCAGGGAGUUAGAGGAGAGAAGGCAUCACAUGAAUUUCUCACCUUUAUCACCCAGGAGCUUGAGGAUCUGUGUCUUUAAAAACUACCCGUGGUAAUUCUGAGGCCGAGUCACAUUUUGGAAUCAGCAAGAGAGACAGUGAAGAAGGAGUAGAUGCAGAUCCUCCAAAGAGAGUCAUGGAGGGAUGUGAAAUUCAGAAAGACCCCUCUGCAGUGUGGAACAGGUUAGGCAAGGGAGCAGGACAAGA